UUGGUUGUUGAUAGUUGGAGAUAGGGUUGUGGUUGUUGAUUGUUUCUCCAACUAUCAACAACCACAACCCUAUCUCCAGUUAUCAACAACCAA
rnacentral:pre_miRNA from 1 species